rnacentral:rRNA from 1 species
CCUACGGGAGGCAGCAGUGAGGAAUAUUGGUCAAUGGACGAGAGUCUGAACCAGCCAAGUAGCGUGAAGGAUGACUGCCCUAUGGGUUGUAAACUUCUUUUAUAUGGGAAUAACAUGUUCCACGUGUGGGAUUUUGUAUGUACCAUAUGAAUAAGGAUCGGCUAACUCCGUGCCAGCAGCCGCGGUAAUACGGAGGAUCCGAGCGUUAUCCGGAUUUAUUGGGUUUAAAGGGAGCGUAGGUGGAGUGUUAAGUCAGUUGUGAAAGUUUGCGGCUCAACCGUAAAAUUGCAGUUGAAACUGACAGUCUGGAGUACAGUAGAGGUGGGCGGAAUUCGUGGUGUAGCGGUGAAAUGCUUAGAUAGCACGAAGAACUCCGAUUGCGAAGGCAGUUCACUGGACUGCAACUGACACUGAGGCUCGAAAGUGUGGGUAUCAAACAGGAUUAGAUACCCCUGUAGUC